rnacentral:misc_RNA from 1 species
UUCGAGCGUCAUAAUCGACCAAAUCACCUCGUGGUGGACUUGGAGUUGGCCUGUACUGGCCUCUCUUAAAAUCAGUGGCGGUGCUCUUAAGCUCUACGCGUAGUAAUUUUCUCGCUACAGGGUCUUGCUAGUACUUGCCAACAACCCCAACUUAUCACAAGGUUGACCUCGGAUCAGGUAGGGAUACCCGCUGAACUUAA